rnacentral:rRNA from 1 species
CCCGACUGCUAUUUGGGUGAGGAUAAGCCAUGCGAGUUGAAUGGGAAACCUAAAAAUCCCAUGGCAAACUGCUCAGUAACACAUGAUCAACUUACCCUAUAGAGGAAAAUAACCUCGGGAAACUGAGGAUAAUGUUCCAUAGUUGAAUCGGCUUGGAAAAGUUUUUCAAUUAAAGGGAUAAGGAAAAUGGUUCUUAUCUGCUAUAGGAUAGGAUCGUGCUCGAUUAUGGUUGUUGGUGAGGUAAAGGCUCACCAAGCCGAUAAUCGAUAGGGGCCGUGAGAGCGGGAGCCCGAGAUGGGUACUGAGACAACGACCCAGGCCUUACGAGGCGCAGCAGGCGCGAAACCUCCGCAAUACACGAAAGUGUGACGGGGUUACCCAAAGUGUUCUAUUUAGAACUGUGGUAGGUGAGUAAUGUCCCCUACUAGAAAGGAGAGGGCAAGGCUGGUGCCAGCCGCCGCGGUAAAACCAGCUCUUCAAGUGGUCGGGAUAAUAUUGGGCUUAAAGUGUCCGUAGCCGGUUUAGUAAGUUCCUGGUAAAAUCGGGUAGCUUAACUAUCUAUAUGCUAGGAAUACUGCUAUACUAGAGGGCGGGAGAGGUCUGAGGUACUACAGGGGUAGGGGUGAAAUCUUAUAAUCCUUGUAGGACCACCAGUGGCGAAGGCGUCAGACUGGAACGCGCCUGACGGUGAGGGACGAAAGCCAGGGGAGCGAACCGGAUUAGAUACCCGGGUAGUCCUGGCCGUAAACGAUGCAUACUAGGUGAUGGCGCGGCCAUGAGCCGUGUCAGUGCCGUAGGGAAACCGUUAAGUGUGCCGCCUGGGAAGUACGGUCGCAAGGCUAAAACUUAAAGGAAUUGGCGGGGGAGCACCACAAGGGGUGAAGCCUGCGGUUCA